rnacentral:rRNA from 1 species
GAUGAACGCUGGCGGCGUGCCUAAUACAUGCAAGUCGAGCGAACAGACGAGGAGCUUGCUCCUCUGACGUUAGCGGCGGACGGGUGAGUAACACGUGGAUAACCUACCUAUAAGACUGGGAUAACUUCGGGAAACCGUAGCUAAUACCGGAUAAUAUUUUGAACCGCAUGGUUCAAUAGUGAAAGACGGUUUUGCUGUCACUUAUAGAUGGAUCCGCGCUGCAUUAGCUAGUUGGUAAGGUAACGGCUUACCAAGGCAACGAUGCAUAGCCGACCUGAGAGGGUGAUCGGCCACACUGGAACUGAGACACGGUCCAGACUCCUACGGGAGGCAGCAGUAGGGAAUCUUCCGCAAUGGGCGAAAGCCUGACGGAGCAACGCCGCGUGAGUGAUGAAGGUCUUCGGAUCGUAAAACUCUGUUAUUAGGGAAGAACAUAUGUGUAAGUAACUAUGCACAUCUUGACGGUACCUAAUCAGAAAGCCACGGCUAACUACGUG